rnacentral:lncRNA from 1 species
CCGUCGUGUAGACCAGUAGUGUUGCUCCGUCAUCCAGCCACACCAACUCUCGUCUAUGUCUGUCACUCUUCUCGGCGGUGUGAGAGGAGAGUAGAAAGAGAGAGAGGGGGGUUACAACACACAGCGUAUACGGGAGAAGAGUGAGUCACCUGCUAAGGCUACUCACACAACGCUACUGGGGGGAAUUUGAAUACACUUGUUUCACUUAUGAUUAUGUGACGACUCCUGGUAGUGAGGUCACGGUUUACUGCCAGUGUAACCCUUCGCCCGGGUCAUAUCUCACAGUGUAUCAGCAAGAUCAGUCCGACAAGACGAUCAUAUUUCCAAGAAACUACAACAGUAUAUCCCUUAAGAAGUAUAAUCUUGGCUAUACUAGAGACUUAGCGCUGUUAACACGAGUGCCGUAGCAGCAGGUUAAUGUCCCAAGUGAGCAUAUACAGUAGGUGUUAUACCGCGUCUCUCCACCGCCUCCUGGGACUGUUGACAACUAACUGUCUUCAAAUUUGCUGGCUCUGGCGUCCUCGUCACACGAAUCCUCCAAGAUCAUCUAAGCCUCUUUGAGUCAGCUUAAGCCUCGCAUGGUCUUCUACAGCUUGUUUACCUCAAUUAAGAUCUCUCAAUAAGCUGAAGCUUCUCUAGACCACAAGGAUUCCUUUAGCCAUCUCCUGCUUCGUUUGUUGAGCUAAAACUUGACAGAGAUAAAAGUUCAUCUGAUUCUUCAAGAUUAAUCUGUAUAACUUCUUUGGAUCGAGAGGAAUCUCCUAAAAUCGUCAAAAUUUACCAGAAUCCGAAAAAACUCCCCACAACAGCUAAUAUUUCCUUCGAGCCUUCUCCCAAAAAAUUCUACUCGACUUAAAUAAAUUGAACCUUCCAGACGAAUACCAAGUCAGUUCUAAAGAUGAACUACAGUGUUUGUGUGAUUAGUUAAAGACGUAACACAGUGACAACCGCUACAUAGGUUAGUCUGGGUGUUGAGGAUGUUACUUGAACAGACCGGAGUUGAGUUUACCACCACUCAUAUAUGGUAUGUUUACCUCACUCUCCCACUCUCCUGAAGGGUUCAUGAUGCUCAGACCCUGAACCCCUGAGGAGCCUAAUGUCUUGAAACUUCUCUGCUGCUGAACUUUCUGAUGUCUUGAAGUUUCUGAAGUUUUCCCGAAUGGUUCAUGUUCCUGGAGCUUUGAUAUUUCUGAUGCCCUGAAAAAGUCUGAAGUUCGAAUAUUCUCAAAGCUAUUCCCUCACUUCUCAUGUCUGGACAUUUUCAAAGGAAGCAGAAUUUGAGAACUUCUGUAAUAUUUUAAAUCUUGAAGUUUCAAUAACUUAAGUUCCUGAAAUCCUGAAGUUCGUAUUGUCUUAAAGUUUCUCUCGUCACCAGAGCUCGUCAGGUCUUAAUAAUUAGUGUACAAAACUACCCACACAAAAAGUAAAUAAAUAACUCUUUGAUAAGUUCGUUGAAAUUUUGAACGUUUUUACGUUUUCAUCUCUCAAGACAACUGAAGCUGCGGUAUAUCUGAAGAUAUUGAAGUCAGUGAUACAUUCGAUCUCUGAAAAACUUCAGCAGCUAAUUUGUGCGAAAAGCAUUUUACCGAAUUGUUUGUAUAGAAUAGAAUAUUCUUCAAACAGAAUCAAAGUUCAGAGAACAUAGACGUCAAGGAAACGAUAAUACAUGAAUCACGGCAGUACAGUAAAUACAAUGAAUUAAUCACGAAUAGUGUUCCGAGACACGUCCAGAGGUUACCUUGUGUACACCACAACAACACGGACAAGCUUAGGAAACAUCCACAUCGGAGGACAUCCUGGGAAAAGAUAAGAAGAAACUACAGCACCGUCUUGAGAAAAAUCACGGCCCCGCGUCUUCAUCUUAAUUCCUAGAAGGAGAAAUGAGUCGUAACACGCGAGAAUCUGCUAGUUCGUAUUUUUGGAAACUUUAAAGCUGACAAUCAUAGAGAAAGAUUACACCUCCUUGGAGAACUACUGAUACGGCAAGAAGGCAAAGUGGAAAUAAAAUACAAAGACACAAUUGAAAAUUCAAAAGUGAGAAAGUGACAAUCAGAGCAGGAAAA